UCAAUAAAGGAUAUGUGUGUGUAUGUAUCAAUAAAGAACAUAUAUCAAUUGAUACAUAUAUCAAUAAAGGAUAUGUGUGUGUGUAUGUAUCAAUAAAGGACAUAUCAAUUGAUAUAUAUAUAUCAAUAAAGGAUAUGUGUGUGUGUGUGUGUGUGUGUGUGUGAAUAAAGGACAUAUAUCAAUUGACAUAUAUCAAUAAAGGAUGUGUGUGUGUGCGCGCGUGCGUGUGCACGCACAUGUGUGGGUAUGUAUAUAUCCUUUAAGAAUUCUUGAAAUUUACAGAAGAACCCUUCAGUCUUUUUUAUUAUUCCUUAAGUACACAAUGAUUUCAGUAUUUGGAAUUGCAGAAAUUAACAUUUGAUUUAUUAAAAUAAUCUUUAGUUGCUUGCCAAAUUUGUUUAACUAUCUAAUAAGAAAAGUGUUUACUCCGGGGGUUCCAUCAUAGCUGAUUCAUAUGUGUGAUGAAAUACGUGAAAGUGUCUAUUCUCUCCUUUAUUAUCAUGAAAUAAAAAGACAUAUUUUCUCUUUUAUACACCUUUCAUUGCAAGCUCACUGUUUAGUGUUCCUUAAUCUCUUCACAUGUUGUCUUUAUUUUGUGUGUUACUUUUCUGAUUUAACUCUGGAAAAUAAGAUAGAAAUGAAUGAAGAAUGUAAUGUGCAAUGUGUAAUGAAGAUGUGUAAACACAUCUCCUUCUUAAAAAUUAUUAAAUUCUAUGUGAAAAUUCACAGAACCCUAAGUCCACAAAGGAAUCUGCAUACAUGUCUGCAUGAGAAUGUUUGGUAAAAUAUUUUGGCAAGUUUAGUUACAGAAAGACUUGCAUAGGAAGAUAAAGUUUGGUAAGGACAAUGUUUUCUGGGGAUGUGUUUAACCUCCCCUAGUGGAGAGAAGGAAGUCUAGGGAAAACUCCCUAACUACUUUGAUUAGUCUGUAAAAUUUAUCUAAUUAGAUGACUUCCUCUGAACACAUUGGGCUUGCUAAUUAGCUUUCACUUAGUUAAGCAAGAAAAAAACUGGACACCACUAAAAAAAAAUUCUCACCCCUUACCCACUUAUAAACUAGAUCAUCUUCAUGAAGAUGUUUAGAAAUUAACUGAAAUGUCAUUAGCAUAUUUCAUUUCUUAGUCAACCUAACAAGACAAUUCCCUGAUGUAGAAAAUGUACCACUUUAUUUUGAGUUGAAAAAAAAAAAAAUCUUUUACCAGAGUUUUUCUCAUCUGAAUAUUUUAGAACCAAGUCUUAUCAUUUCUAACCACAAUCAUCUACCAAAGAGGAAAAAUUAUCUGCGAUUUUGAAAACACGCUUGCUGCUGCUGUGUUGAAGAAAAAUGCAUCUUAUUAAAGCAUCUUCAGCUGGCAUUUUUCAUGAAUUGAUGGACAUCUGUUCAGCCUGGGUAUUGUGCAGCUCAAAACACAUUUAUUCUCUCAGCAUUCUUAAAGGGCUCUGUGCACUCUCUGAAUGCCAAAGAUAACAUCUAGAUCAGCAAUUUCUCAUAAAUCAUUGGAACAUGGAACAUGAAACAAGAAGAAACCAGGAAUUCAAUAAUAAAUACAGCAAGGUGCACAAACAAGAGAAUUGAAACCAGAUGAAAAGAAGCCUUUCAGAACAGAAGGUCAAGAAACACGUUUCCCCUGCUCCCUCAAUCCUCAGAAUAAUCCCUCUGAUUGUGCUUUCUAUCCAGCCAUCAGCUUACUGCUCUGAGUCGGUUUUGGAAUAUUUAUGUGCUGGAUUUAAGGCUUUAACAUGCAACUGAAAAAAUUAGUGUAGUUUAUUUUAGUUUGCUCAAGGUUGCAGGCCAUUAUGCAACAAGGGGGUAAACAGUGUUUAUUGUACUUUAAGGAGCACUGUGCCCAUACACCCUAACAUAAAUUCCAGAUAUGGGUACAUCAAUGUAGUUCAAUGUAAUAUAUAUAUAUAUAUAUAUGAAGUCACAUAAAUUAUAAUAAAGCAAUAUUGUUACAGAAAAGGGGGCCUAGAUGGUUCUUGGAUUUCAUGCCAGAAAGAAUUAGGAGUGAGUCCACAGAAUAAAGUGAAAAGAAGUUUAUUAGGAAAGUACAGGAAUGAAAGAAUGGCUAUUCCACGGAAAGGGCAGUCCUGAGGACUGCUGGUUGCCCAUUUUUAUGAUUAUUUAUUGAUUAUAUGCUAAACAAGGAGUGGAUUAUUCAUGCCUCCCCUUUUUAGACCGGAUAGGGUGACUUCCUGAUGUUGCCAUGGCAUUUGUAAACUGUCAUGGUGCUGGUGGGAAUGUAGCAGUGCAGGCCACCAGAGGUCACCCUCCUUACCAUCUUGGUUUUGUGGGUUUUGGCCAGGUUAUUUACUGCAACCUGUUUUAUAAGAAACGUCUUUGUGACCUGUAACUUGUGCUGAGCGACCAUCUCAUCCUAUGACUUCAGAGAAGUGCAAGCUCCCGAUCUCAGAAAAUGUCUUCUGACCUGCUAUCACUGGAGUUCUUAAAAGCUUAGGGUCCCUGCUGCACCAAGGUCUGGUCUUCUUCCUUUAAGCCAGAUGAAAUAAAAGAAGAAUACUAAAGAAGGCUUACAAUGAAAGCAGAGGCAGAAAACAGCAAAAGAAGAGGAGAAACCUCUACCGUGAGCAUGAUUCUAAGUCUCCCUCAGUUGCCCAGGCUGGAGUGCAGUGAAGUGAUCUCACCUCACUGCAGCCUCCUCCUCCCAGGUUCAAGCAAUUCUCCUGCCUCAGCUUCCUGAGUAGCUGCGAUUACAGGCAUGCGCCACCAUUCUCAGGAAGUAUCAUGAUUUCCAAGCACUCAACCUCUGAGAAGGACUGGUCAAGAUGGGAUCUUCGAAAACAUCUUGGCAGAGGCUGGGAAGCGCUGAUGGGUAAAGUUUCCUCCAUGUCCUUUCAUGACCU